rnacentral:lncRNA from 1 species
GUGUUCGAGGAGCACUGGAUUUCCAAUUGCCUUGCAGACUGCCAGCGACACUCCCUGAAAAAUCCUUCAGCCUUCAUACACAGCUCCUUUCACCUCUUAGUAACAAAAUGCUCAUCCUUGGGCACUUGACCAUUUAUGCAGCAUUUCACAGCAUCUCAUCCAAUGCUUACCUCCAUCCUCAGUAGUAAGCAGGAUGUAUGGUACAACCUUCAUUUUAGUGAUGGAAGAACUGAAAAACUCAAAGAGGGAUGAGAAAACAUAACCAGAGAGUGGCCUGCUUUAGGUCUCAGAGCCAGCAUGAAAAGUAUAGAAAGG